CAAGUCGAACGGUGUCUUCGGACAUAGUGGCGGACGGGUGAGUAACGCGUGAGAAUCUGCCUUCAGGAUGGGGACAACGACUGGAAACGGUCGCUAAAACCCAAUGUGCCGAGAGGUGAAAUAUUUAUAGCCUGAAGAUGAGCUCGCGUCAGAUUAGCUAGUUGGUAAGGUAAUGGCUUACCAAGGCGACGAUCUGUAGCUGGUCUGAGAGGAUGAUCAGCCACACUGGGACUGAGACACGGCCCAGACUCCUACGGGAGGCAGCAGUGGGGAAUUUUCCGCAAUGGGCGAAAGCCUGACGGAGCAAUACCGCGUGAGGGAGGAAGGCUCUUGGGUUGUAAACCUCUUUUGAUCGGGAAGAAGACAGUGACGGUACCGAUCGAAUCAGCAUCGGCUAACUCCGUGCCAGCAGCCGCGGUAAUACGGAGGAUGCAAGCGUUAUCCGGAUUUAUUGGGCGUAAAGCGUCCGCAGGUGGUUGAGCAAGUCUGCUGUCAAAGCGCGGAGCUUAACUCCGUAAAGGCAGUGGAAACUGUUUAACUUGAGUACGGUAGGGGUAGCGGGAAUUCCCAGUGUAGCGGUGAAAUGCGUAGAUAUUGGGAAGAACACCAGCGGCGAAAGCGCGCUACUGGGCCUGUACUGACACUGAGGGACGAAAGCUAGGGGAGCGAAAGGGAUUAGAUACCCCUGUAGUCCUAGCUGUAAACGAUGGGUACUAGGUGUUGGCCGUAUCGACCCGGUCAGUGCCGUAGCUAACGCGUUAAGUACCCCGCCUGGGGAGUACGCACGCAAGUGUGAAACUCAAAGGAAUUGACGGGGGCCCGCACAAGCGGUGGA
rnacentral:rRNA from 1 species